rnacentral:rRNA from 1 species
CGGGGGGGCAUACUAUACAUGCAAGUCGUACGCUUCUUUUUCCACCGGAGCUUGCUCCACCGGAAAAAGAAGAGUGGCGAACGGGUGAGUAACACGUGGGUAACCUGCCCAUCAGAAGGGGAUAACACUUGGAAACAGGUGCUAAUACCGUAUAACAAUCGAAACCGCAGGGUUUUGAUUUGAAAGGCGCUUUCGGGUGUCGCUGAUGGAUGGACCCGCGGUGCAUUAGCUAGUUGGUGAGGUAACGGCUCACCAAGGCCACGAUGCAUAGCCGACCUGAGAGGGUGAUCGGCCACAUUGGGACUGAGACACGGCCCAAACUCCUACGGGAGGCAGCAGUAGGGAAUCUUCGGCAAUGGACGAAAGUCUGACCGAGCAACGCCGCGUGAGUGAAGAAGGUUUUCGGAUCGUAAAACUCUGUUGUUAGAGAAGAACAAGGAUGAGAGUAACUGUUCAUCCCUUGACGGUAUCUAACCAGAAAGCCACGGCUAACUACGUGCCAGCAGCCGCGGUAAUAACGUAGGUAGCAAGCGUUGUCCGGAUUUAUUGGGCGUAAAGCGAGCGCAGGCGGUUUCUUAAGUCUGAUGUGAAAGCCCCCGGCUCAACCGGGGAGGGUCAUUGGAAACUGGGAGACUUGAGUGCAGAAGAGGAGAGUGGAAUUCCAUGUGUAGCGGUGAAAUGCGUAGAUAUAUGGAGGAACACCAGUGGCGAAGGCGGCUCUCUGGUCUGUAACUGACGCUGAGGCUCGAAAGCGUGGGGAGCAAACAGGAUUAGAUACCCUGGUAGUCCACGCCGUAAACGAUGAGUGCUAAGUGUUUGGGAGGGUUUCCGCCCUUCAGUGCUGCAGCUAACGCAUUAAGCACUCCGCCCUGGGGAGUACGACCGCAAAGGUUGAAACUCAAAGGAAUUGACGGGGGCCCGCACAAGCGGUGGAGCAUGUGGUUUAAUUCGAAGCAACGCGAGAACCUUACCAGGUCUUGACAUCCUUUGACCACUCUAGAGAUAGAGCUUCCCCCUUCUGGGGCAAAGUGACCAGGUGGGGGCAGGGGGUUGUCGUCAGCCUCGCGUCGU